CAAGUUUUUAAGGGCGCACGGUGGAUGCCUUGGCACCAGGAACCGAUGAAGGACGUGGGAGGCCGCGAUAGGCCCCGGGGAGCUGUCAACCGAGCUGUGAUCCGGGGGUGUCCGAAUGGGGAAACCCGGCAGUCGUCAUGGGCUGUCACCCAUACCUGAACACAUAGGGUAUGUGGAGGGAACGCGGGGAAGUGAAACAUCUCAGUACCCGCAGGAAGAGAAAACAACCGUGAUUCCGGGAGUAGUGGCGAGCGAAACUGGAUGAGGCUAAACCGUAUGUGUGUGAUACCCGGCAGGGGUUGCGCAUGCGGGGUUGUGGGAGCGAGCUUCGGUCGUCUGCCGGCGGCUGGGUGAGUCAGAAACCAUUGCGAUAGGCGAAGGGCAUGCGAAAGGCCCGGCGUAGAGGGUAAGACCCCCGUAGCUGAAAUCGUGGUGGCUUGCUUGCUUGUUUCCCAAGUAGCACGGGGCCCGAGAAAUCCCGUGUGAAUCUGGCGGGACCACCCGCUAAGCCUAAAUAUUCCCUGGUGACCGAUAGCGGAUAGUACCGUGAGGGAAUGGUGAAAAGUACCGCGGGAGCGGAGUGAAAUAGUACCUGAAACCGUGUGCCUACAAGCCGUGGGAGCGUCGGGCAUCAGCUUGCUGGUGUCUCGUGACUGCGUGCCUUUUGAAGAAUGAGCCUGCGAGUUUGCGGUGUGUUGCGAGGUUAACCCGUGUGGGGAAGCCGUAGCGAAAGCGAGUCCGAAUAGGGCGGUGUAGUAGCGCGCUCAAGACCCGAAGCGGAGUGAUCUAGCCAUGGGCAGGUUGAAGCGGAGGUAAGACUUCGUGGAGGACCGAACCCACCAGGGUUGAAAACCUGGGGGAUGACCUGUGGUUAGGGGUGAAAGGCCAAUCAAACUCCGUGAUAGCUGGUUCUCCCCGAAAUGCAUUUAGGUGCAGCGUCGUGUGUUUCUUGCCGGAGGUAGAGCACUGGAUAGGCGAUGGGCCCUACCGGGUUACUGACCUUAGCCAAACUCCGAAUGCCGGUAAGUGAGAGCGCGGCAGUGAGACUGUGGGGGAUAAGCUCCAUGGUCGAGAGGGAAACAGCCCAGAGCAUCGACUAAGGCCCCUAAGCGUACGCUAAGUGGGAAAGGAUGUGGAGUCGCAGAGACAACCAGGAGGUUGGCUUAGAAGCAGCCAUCCUUGAAAGAGUGCGUAAUAGCUCACUGGUCAAGUGAUUCCGCGCCGACAAUGUAGCGGGGCUCAAGCGUACCGCCGAAGUCGUGUCAUUGCAGCAUGAGACCUAACGGUUGUUGUGAUGGGUAGGGGAGCGUCGUGUGCCGGGUGAAGCAGCACCGGAAGGUAGUUGUGGAUGGUUCACGAGUGAGAAUGCAGGCAUGAGUAGCGAUUCACACGUGGGAAACGUGUGCGCCGAUUGACUAAGGGUUCCUGGGUCAAGCUGAUCUGCCCAGGGUAAGUCGGGACCUAAGGCGAGGCCGACAGGCGUAGUCGAUGGACAACCGGUUGAUAUUCCGGUACCCGCUUUGAAGCGCCAGCGCUGAACCAGGCGAUGCUAAGUCCGUGAAGCCGCCCUGGAUCCUUCGGGUGAAGGGGAGUGGUGGAGCCGACGGUCCAGACCUGUAGUAGGUGAGUGAUGGGGUGACGCAGGAAGGUAGUCCAGCCCGGGCGGUGGUUGUCCCGGGGUAAGGGUGUAGCCCGAGGGGUAGGUAAAUCCGUCUCUCAUAUAAGGGUGAGACCUGAUGCCGAGCCGAUUGUGGUGAAGUGGAUGAUCCUAUGCUGUCGAGAAAAGCCUCUAGCGAGUUUCAUGGCGGCCCGUACCCUAAACCGACUCAGGUGGUCAGGUAGAGAAUACCGAGGCGUUCGGGUGAACUAUGGUUAAGGAACUCGGCAAAAUGCCCCCGUAACUUCGGGAGAAGGGGGGUCAUUGCUGGUGAUCACCCUUGCGGUGUGAGCUGGUGGUGGCCGCAGAGACCAGCGAGAAGCGACUGUUUACUAAAAACACAGGUCCGUGCGAAGCCGUAAGGCGAUGUAUACGGACUGACGCCUGCCCGGUGCUGGAACGUUAAGGGGACCGGUUAGUCACAUUUCGGUGUGGCGAAGCUGAGAACUUAAGCGCCAGUAAACGGCGGUGGUAACUAUAACCAUCCUAAGGUAGCGAAAUUCCUUGUCGGGUAAGUUCCGACCUGCACGAAUGGCGUAACGACUUCUCGACUGUCUCAACCAUAGGCCCGGUGAAAUUGCAUUACGAGUAAAGAUGCUCGUUUCGCGCAGCAGGACGGAAAGACCCCGGGACCUUUACUACAGCUUGAUAUUGGUGUUCGGUUCGGCUUGUGUAGGAUAGGUGGGAGACUGUGAAGCCGCAACGCCAGUUGUGGUGGAGUCGUUGUUGAAAUACCACUCUGGUCGUGCUGGAUGUCUAACCUGGGUCCGUGAUCCGGAUCAGGGACAGUGUCUGGUGGGUAGUUUAACUGGGGCGGUUGCCUCCUAAAGGGUAACGGAGGCGCCCAAAGGUUCCCUCAGCCUGGUUGGCAAUCAGGUGUUGAGUGUAAGUGCACAAGGGAGCUUGACUGUGAGACUGACGGGUCGAGCAGGGACGAAAGUCGGGACUAGUGAUCCGGCGGUGGCUUGUGGAAGCGCCGUCGCUCAACGGAUAAAAGGUACCCCGGGGAUAACAGGCUGAUCUUCCCCAAGAGUCCAUAUCGACGGGAUGGUUUGGCACCUCGAUGUCGGCUCGUCGCAUCCUGGGGCUGGAGUCGGUCCCAAGGGUUGGGCUGUUCGCCCAUUAAAGCGGUACGCGAGCUGGGUUUAGAACGUCGUGAGACAGUUCGGUCCCUAUCCGCUGUGCGCGUAGGAGUCUUGAGAAGGGCUGUCCCUAGUACGAGAGGACCGGGACGGACGAACCUCUGGUGUGCCAGUUGUUCUGCCAAGGGCAUGGCUGGUUGGCUACGUUCGGGAGGGAUAACCGCUGAAAGCAUCUAAGCGGGAAGCCUGCUUCGAGAUGAGGGCUCCCACCUCCUUGAGGGGUUAAGGCUCCCAGUAGACGACUGGGUUGAUAGGCCAGAUAUGGAAGCCGGGUGACCGGUGGAGUUGACUGGUACUAAUAGGCCGAGGGCUUGUCC
rnacentral:rRNA from 1 species